CAUAAAAUAGUUUAAAUAAAAAUUUCAGUUUUGGAAACUGAGGAUCUAAAAAUUAUAGUUUUUUGA
rnacentral:tRNA from 1 species